GCACUUCAGGUUCGGACCAAAAUUUUAGUCAAAAUGGUGCGGCUUAUAAUUGUGAAAUUACUGUACUUAAAUUUGUACCACACCUCUGAGCUCUCGAAGUUUGGGAACUGCCAGAUUGUCAUCAAGUUUUAAAGGGAAGCUCAGUAAGAAAAAAGCAGUUUUAGACAUGAAUCUGUCUUGUCGUCUACGUUCUGUUUUAAACUCCUUUUUCUGCUCACAGCACAAGGCUAUAGCUGAAUUAAGAGCAAGAAGAUACAUGAUGCUGCCUCACUACUUUGACUUGGCAGAUGAUGGUCUCUUCGCAUCUGGCCAUUUUCGACGCUGAAACUGCCUAAUUUUCAAGCAGCAAAAGAA